rnacentral:lncRNA from 1 species
GUAUUUACCUCCUUAGAUUUGAUCCAAGGAAAGGUAACACUUUAGAUGAGUUUCCUUGAAAGAUAUCAAGGAAAUUAGCAUCAUAAGAUAAUGUAUUUCUCCAUUAGGAGAAGAACGAACUCGAAUAAGAUUUAGUUCGUUAGAUGUUAUCUAUUACCCAUAUAUAUAGGAUAUAUACUUCUAAAACAAUAUGAUUGUCAAUUAGAAGAUCUUCCAAAUUUUUCAUGACUCCAUAAGAUGUAGUUGGAAAGAAAGACAAAUCUUAAGCAUGUUAAGAUUUGGGGUUGUGUGCUUAUAAGCAAUAUUUGUUUGAUAACAAUCUUGUAGGAUAUCCUUAAA